CACGAGCACGUAAAUGCACUGUGUUGCUAAUUUGGCUCAUCGAAAAUUAGCAGCAUGGCGCAUUUGCGCGCCAAUGGCCAAAU
rnacentral:pre_miRNA from 1 species